GCAUUGGCGCGGGGAGGAGCAGGGAUCUUGGCAGCGGGCGAGGAGGCUGCGAGCGAGCCGCGAACCGAGCGGGCGGCGGGCGCGCGCACCAUGGGGGAGAAACCCGGGACCAGGGUCUUCAAGAAGUCGAGCCCUAACUGCAAGCUCCCCACUUCCUGUGACAGCUAAGCGCCGACUUCCUUCCCUCCUGAAGCCCCUUGCCGCAGAGGCUGCUCAGCCUGAGCCAGCCACAGGGCUGGGUGGGGCAGGCUUGGGUCCCCAAGCAAGACCACAGAGGAGGAGGCCAAAAGCAAGCCAUGUGCCUGUAGCCCUCCUAGGAGCCAACCCAAGCUCACCGUGUACUUGGGCAAGCGGGACUUCGUAGAUCACCUGGACAAAGUGGACCCUGUAGAUGGCGUGGUGCUUGUGGACCCUGACUACCUGAAGGACCGCAAAGUGUUUGUGACCCUCACCUGCGCCUUCCGCUAUGGCCGUGAAGACCUGGAUGUGCUGGGCUUGUCCUUCCGCAAAGACCUGUUCAUCGCCACCUACCAGGCCUUCCCCCCGGUGCCCAACCCACCCCGG
rnacentral:lncRNA from 1 species